rnacentral:rRNA from 1 species
CCCUUAGAUGUUCUGGGCUGCACGCGCGCUACACUGAUGCGCUCAACGAGUUUACGACCUUGCCCGGAAGGGUUGGGUAAUCUUUUUAAAACGCAUCGUGAUGGGGAUAGAUUAUUGCAAUUAUUAAUCUUCAACGAGGAAUGCCCAGUAGGCGCAAGUCAUCAGCUUGCGUCGAUUACGUCCCUGCCCUUUGUACACACCGCCCGUCGCUCCUACCGAUUGGGUGUGCUGGUGAAAUGUUCGGAUCGGCCGUUUGUCGCGGUUUCCGCGUCAUGUGGCUGAGAAGUUCAUUAAACCCUCCCACCUAGAGGAAGGAGAAGUCGUAACA